GGGCCUGUAGCUCAGCCUGGUUAGAGCAUUGGUCUUAUACACCAAGUGUCGGGGGUUCAAAUCCUCCCAGGCCCA
rnacentral:tRNA from 1 species